rnacentral:lncRNA from 1 species
CCUUGUUCUGCCUCCUGGGCUGUGCCCCUCCCCACAGGGGCCUCGCCAGGGCCAUGCCCGGCAUGGUGGGGAGGGGGCUAGCACCUCACAUCAGGGCAGGGCCAGUGUCCAUUGUGAGGUAAGGCGAUGAAGAUGAUGAUGCCCUCAGAAGUUGGCAAAGAGGCUGACACAGGCCAAAAGGGGUGCCAGGGGUGCAGGACGGGAGGUGGGUGUGAGGCACAGGUAACCUUGACCUUGAGGAAGGGGCAGUGGUGGCCGUGAACCUGCGAAUCCACGGAGAAGAAUCAGACGAGGGGCAGACAUGUUCGUGAACUUGCCUGAGUUCCCACGGCAACUAAGUGGUGGGGCCGGGGCCUAAGCCAAGGCAGCCUGGCCCCAUAGCCCCUGUGACUAACCACAUCCCACGUGGCUCACAGGACCUCCCUCUGCCAUGGGCAGGGGUACUGAUUGGCUUCAAAAACUCCUGGACAGCAGAUCGUGAGCGAUGGUUUUGGGUGCAGUCCCUCCCUCAGAACACCCUCCUCGACCCUGACAGGCCCGGCUUCCUCUGGGCACUGAGGAAACACCCGAUGGACUGAGUGUGGUGGGCUUGGCAGAAAUACCAUGACGUGGAAAGUCUUCUGAUCAUUCUCAUUUUCCAGAAGAGGAAACUGAGGCACAGAGAGAGUGCAAGGGACACGUUGGUAAGGGACACAGCUGGGACCUGGGCCCAGGCAGGAUGGGUGUGGGGCUGCCUCUGUACCAGCGGAGCAUGCAAGGUCUGAGUUUGAGUUAAUGCUCACUAUUUAGUAAUCGUUACUUCAGACGAUAAUACAGUGAUGUUCUAUGUUACAUAAUAAAAGUAAGAGCUUACACUGUGGA